CCCGUCCGGCCCCGUCCCGCCGCCCGCCAGCCAGCCAUGAGCUCCACGCAGUUCAACAAGGGCCCCUCGUACGGGCUGUCGGCCGAGGUCAAGAACCGGCUCCUGUCCAAAUAUGACCCUCAGAAGGAGGCAGAGCUCCGCACCUGGAUUGAGGGACUCACCGGCCUCUCCAUCGGCCCCGACUUCCAAAAGGGCUUGAAGGACGGAACUAUCUUAUGCACACUCAUGAACAAGCUACAGCCGGGCUCCGUCCCCAAGAUCAACCGCUCCAUGCAGAACUGGCACCAGCUAGAAAACCUGUCCAACUUCAUCAAGGCCAUGGUCAGCUACGGCAUGAACCCCGUGGACCUGUUCGAGGCCAACGACCUGUUUGAGAGUGGGAACAUGACACAGGUGCAGGUGUCUCUUCUCGCCCUGGCGGGGAAGGCCAAGACUAAGGGGCUGCAGAGCGGGGUGGACAUCGGCGUCAAGUACUCGGAAAAGCAGGAGCGGAAUUUCGACGACACCACCAUGAAGGCCGGCCAGUGUGUCAUCGGACUGCAGAUGGGCACCAACAAAUGCGCCAGCCAGUCGGGCAUGACCGCGUACGGCACGAGGAGGCAUCUCUAUGACCCCAAGAACCAUAUCCUGCCCCCCAUGGACCACUCGACCAUCAGCCUCCAAAUGGGCACAAACAAGUGUGCGAGCCAGGUGGGCAUGACGGCUCCCGGGACGCGGCGGCACAUCUAUGACACCAAGCUGGGAACCGACAAGUGUGACAACUCCUCUAUGUCCCUGCAGAUGGGCUACACGCAGGGCGCCAACCAGAGCGGCCAGGUCUUCGGCCUGGGCCGACAGAUAUAUGACCCCAAGUAUUGCCCGCAAGGCACAGUGGCCGAUGGGGCUCCCUCAGGCGCUGGCGACUGCCUGGACCCGGGGGAGGUCCCUGAAUAUCCCCCUUACUACCAGGAGGAGGCCAGCUACUGAGGCUCCCAGCACGCUCUCUUCCCACAUCAUCUCCCCGUCUGGGUUUCUGGGUUUUUCUGUGUUUUCAUCUUUGUUUUUUUUCUUAGCCGGUUCAGUGCUGCCAAUCAACCAAGGGUCUGUGAGUGGCAGCAUGGGAUCAGGCAGCGUGGGAUCAGGCAGCGUGGGAUCAGGCAGCAGAGCUUUUUUCCCCUUUG